CACGUAGGGCGCGAGCGUUGUCCGGAAUUAUUGGGCGUAAAGAGCUCGUAGGCGGCCUGUUGCGUCCGCUGUGAAAGCCCGGGGCUUAACCCCCGGGGUACGGCGAGUGGAUACGGGCAGGCUAGAGGUAGGUAGGGGAGAAUGGAAUUCCCGGUGUAGCGGUGAAAUGCGUAGAGAUCGGUAGGAACACCAGUGGCGAAGGCGGUCUCCUGGGGCAUUCUUGACGCUGAGACGCGAAAGCUGGGGGGAGCGAACGGG
rnacentral:rRNA from 1 species